CCAAAUCCCAAGACCCAAAACAAUAGAAAAGAACUAAGCUUGACACUUUGAAUCCUGGGUCGUAGUUUCAGUCAACUCUGAAGCUCUCCUAUGCACUCCCAUAUCUUUUCCUUAUUUACUUGAUUUAUUUACUUGAUUUGUGUUCCAUUUUCUUUCCUUUUUGUUCUUACCUACCUAGAUUGGGAGUCGAAAUUUUAGUCCCAAUUCUAGUCCAAACGGCUAUCUUGUUUGAAGACUCGCAUGAUUUUCUUUCCAUUUGAGCACCCGCAGAUUUAAAAUCAACUGGAUGAAUGUAGAUAGAUUUGGGGGUAAGUGUUCUUUGUUUCUCAUAUUGAUCCAAUCGCAAUUAUAGAAUAUUUCUUUUGAUUUUCGAAUUUUAAAGGAAGUGUAAUUUUUGAAUUUUUACUGAUUAUAUGGAACUAAUUUUUCCCCAAAAACUAUAGUACCUUGUUUUUUAGCAUUAAUCAACAACGGCUCUUUUCAAAGAAAAUUUGCUUGUAAUGAUACACAAUUUUUACUGAUUUCUUUCCUUCCUAAUUACAAACGUUUAUUUUAUUCAAAGCUAUAAAUAUUGGCAUCCUUGGCACUUCAAGAGGGGGAAAAAAAGAAGAAAUUGGCAUUUUCGAUCACUACUUUCACUGCAACUAUAGCAAUUUUCACUAUUGAGAUAUUACUGUAAUUGCCUCUCCGCUUGCCGGCUAUAAGCUAAGGGAAAGCUUGGUUCUUUACCCUCACUUAAUAUAAAUACUGCUCGAAACUCUCGAGGUUCUCAUGAUCUCAAAGUAUCAAGUUCGGGUAUCAAUAGUAGAUGUUGUUCAACUUCAUUUUCGGCGAUUAGUUAUUGGACUUUAAUCGUGAUUCGGAUUUCUGGCUUUUUAUAUUUAUCUCUGCACGUCAAACUGGUUAGUCUUUUAGACGACUCAUUUAAAUUUCGUAUGUGAUAAUUGUAUGUAAAAUAGUUAGUUUUAAUUCACACAUGAUAUGUUGCUUGAAUGCUAAAAGCAUUCUACUUGGAAGCGCGCAGGUUAGCGCUCUUCUCCUUUCUCCAGAAUUUUGCCUUAUGUGUGUAUGAAAUUUUGUAUGCAUAUGGCCGUGCUGCCAGUGCCAGGUAUCUAAAUUUGGUUUGGAUGAGAAUUUGGGUCGCCGUAAAUGCAAGGCCUAAAAGAGGGGUCAACCUGGAGUUCUGAAGCUGUCUAGUUAUUUUCCUAGGCCAUACCAUUUUUAUCUACUUGAGCAUGUAAUAAGACACUGAUAGUUGUGAAGGGAUAUUGGAAAAAGGAGUGAUUUGCUAUUGCGUGCUAAUUUUUAUUUUCUGCUCGUUUAUGUGCUA